AUUGAACGCUAGCGGCAGGCUUAACACAUGCAAGUCGAGCGGGGGAAGGUAGCUUGCUACCGGACCUAGCGGCGGACGGGUGAGUAAUGCUUAGGAAUCUGCCUAUUAGUGGGGGACAACAUCUCGAAAGGGAUGCUAAUACCGCAUACGUCCUACGGGAGAAAGCAGGGGAUCUUCGGACCUUGCGCUAAUAGAUGAGCCUAAGUCGGAUUGGCUAGUUGGUGGGGUAAAGGCCUACCAAGGCGACGAUCUGUAGCGGGUCUGAGAGGAUGAUCCGCCACACUGGGACUGAGACACGGCCCAGACUCCGACGGGAGGCAGCAGUGGGGAAUAUUGGACAAUGGGGGGAACCCUGAUCCAGCCAUGCCGCGUGUGUGAAGAAGGCCUUAUGGUUGUAAAGCACUUUAAGCGAGGAGGAGGCUACUCUAGUUAAUACCUAGGGAUAGUGGACGUUACUCGCAGAAUAAGCACCGGCUAACUCUGUGCCAGCCGCCGCCGUAA
rnacentral:rRNA from 1 species